GGAGUCGGCCAGGCAGUCGCGUCAUCCCGGCCCUUCGGGGCGGCGGAUGCCGAGGAAAGUCCGGGCUCCACAGGGCACGGUGCCAGGUAAUGCCUGGGCGGCGCGAGCCGACGGAAAGUGCAACAGAAAGCAGACCGCCGAUGGCCCGCAAGGGAUCAGGCAAGGGUGAAACGGUGCGGUAAGAGCGCACCGCGAGUCCGGCAACGGACCGGCACGGCAAACCCCACCGGGAGCAAGGCCAAAUAGGGACCUCAUGACGUGGCCCGCGUCGGGUCCGGGUAGGCUGCUCGAGCGUAGCGGUGACGCUGCGCCUAGAGGAAUGACUGUCCACGACAGAACCCGGCUUAUCGGCCGGCUCCGCCA
rnacentral:RNase_P_RNA from 1 species